rnacentral:rRNA from 1 species
UGGCGGCGUGCUUAACACAUGCAAGUCGAACGAUGAAGCCUGGGCUUGCCCGGGUGGAUUAGUGGCGAACGGGUGAGUAAUACGUGAGUAACCUGCCCUCCUCUUCGGGAUAAGCCCUGGAAACGGGGUCUAAUACCGGGUAUUCCCUUUUCUCCGCAUGGGGUUUUGGGGAAAGGUUUUUUCUGGUGGGGGAUGGGCUCGCGGCCUAUCAGCUUGUUGGUGGGGUGAUGGCCUACCAAGGCGUCGACGGGUAGCCGGCCUGAGAGGGUGACCGGCCACAUUGGGACUGAGAUACGGCCCAGACUCCUACGGGAGGCAGCAGUGGGGGAUAUUGCGCAAUGGGCGGAAGCCUGACGCAGCGACGCCGCGUGGGGGAUGAAGGCUUUCGGGUUGUAAACCCCUUUCGACCAGGAACAAGGCUCCUUGUGGGUUGAGGGUACUGGUAUAAGAAGCGCCGGCUAACUACGUGCCAGCCGCCGC